GGAGGUACCGGCAGCCUGUUCCGGGGAGUGCCCCUGCCCUGCUUCCUGUAACUGUUCGGACACCCUCGAACCUGUCUGUAGUACCAGAGGACAAAACUACACCAAUGCAUGCGAGGCAGCGUGCGAUGCGGCCACCAUUGCCUGUAAUGGUACUUGUCCUUGCUCAGAGCCUUGUGCGUGUCAAUGGAGUUUGCUCCCGUCUGCGGCACCAACAAUGUGACGUGCUCCAACAAAUGUCAAGCCAAAUGUCUGAACGUGAGCGUGGCGUGUCAGAACGAGUGUCCGUGCUGUGACUGUGAGGGGUACCCGGACUUUCCUGUCUGUGGUUCGGACGGUCUCGUCUAUCUCAAUCCCUGCAAACUGGAGUGUGCGGGUGUGAGGCUGGCAUGUUUUGGAUUUUGCCCCUGCUCUGAAGGAACAGAACGCCGGAAAUCAAGCAGUUGUCCAGUCAAGUAAGGACCUAGAGCUUCAGUCCGACAGAGACCGGUCAUUACUCUCGUUGAUCAAUUCCCUUUGGCACAAUAUUCCAAAAUCUGAAAUUGACCAGUAAAGACAUAGUCACUAGAUACACUGAUAAAUAUUUUUGCUUGACAUCUAUUAUACCUAAAGAAAAUACAUUGUAUAAAAUAUUUAGUACUUUUCAAGGAGUAUUCCCCUUCAUCAAAUAAUGAACACUGUAAGGAAUGCAGACCUAAUUAGCCUUCAAAGACAGCUAGGAUUAUCUUUAUUGUUUUCAAUUUCAUCAUUUAUUCAUAGUAAGGAAAGAAAGAAUUCAUAAUUUGCUUGAAUGACAUUAAAAAUAAACAUGCAUUUGCUAUAAAUGUAUUUAACUGUAUAUAUAAUUUUGAAAAUUGUUACCGACACUGUAGAAGAAGCGAAAGUCAAAAUGAAGCAAGAAAGUAUUUUAUUUAGAGAAUUUUAGUUUUCAUUUCUUUUAUAUUGAGUAAAUGUUUUUGACGUUCCCUUCAAAUUUUCCAUUUCUAUAUAAUAAUCAGCAUUUAAAUAAACACUGUGUAUGUAUUAAACUUUGUAAUAUAAAUUGACAUCAAUAAAGCAUUUAUCAAAUUA